UCAGGAUGAACGCUAGCGGCGCGCUUAACGCAUGCAAGUCGAGCGAUGAGGCUCCCUUCGGGGAGUACAUCAGCGGCAGACGGGUGAGUAACACGUAGAUAACCUGCCCUCAAGACGGGGACAACCGGUGGAAACAGCGGCUAAUACCCGAUAUGCUCACAGGAUCGGGAGGUCGAGUGAGGAAAGCGCCCCUUCGGGGGAGAGUGUUUGAGGAGGGAUCUGCGGNCCAUCAGCUAGUUGGUGAGGUAACGGCUCACCAAGGCGAAGACGGGUAGGGGGUGUGAGAGCAUGGNCCCCCACAAUGGGACUGAGACACGGCCCAUACUCCUACGGGAGGCAGCAGCGGGGACUAUUGCGCAAUGGACGGAAGUCAGACGCAGCGACGCCGCGUGGGUGAGGAAGGCCUUCGGGUUGUAAAGCCCUUUUCAGGGGAGCGAGAACGGACGGUACCCUUGGAAUAAGCGUCGGCUAACUACGUGCCAGCAGCCGCGGUAAGACGUAGGACGCAAGCGUUAUCCGGAUUUACUGGGCGUAAAGCGCCUGUAGGCGGUCAAGUAAGUCGGAUGUGAAAGCCCCGUGCUCAACGCGGGGGAAACCAUUCGAUACUGAGUGACUAGA
rnacentral:rRNA from 1 species